rnacentral:lncRNA from 10 species
CGCAGGUUGAGUGGGCCCGUCAUGUGAAUGUUGGCUACUGAAAAGUGGUGGUACGUGCAGCUAUCGAGUGCUGUAGGAAUAUGGGGAACUCAUUCCUAAGAGUGACAGUGGAUCUGUCUCUAGAUUUUCUAGAGAGGGAACGCCUAAGGGAAACUGGGCCAGAAUUCAAUUUAUUUAACAGCAUAGAUGGCUCCUCAGGAAGUCCAGUUCCAGACGGCCACCAGAGGAGAACAAUCCAAUGCCAAGUCUGUUAUAAACACUUCCGGGCUCUGCAUUCUCAUAGGAUGUGUGUUGAACACUAACAUGUCAACCCUAGCUCUAAUCCUAAAGCACCUAGGAUAUGAGGUGGAUCUUUUUAUGUUCUAGAUCCUAAGAGGAGAUUUGGCCCACAGAUAUAUAAAAAGAACAGUUUGGUUUAGAGAUAAAGAAGAAUAUGACUUUAGAAGAGAGGGACCCCAUUGGUUAUAAACUCUUCCAUGAGACUGCACAGAGGUUACAUGUUAUUCAUCUUUGAGCACAGUACCUAGUGACUGAGCAUGCACACUUAGUAAAUGAUUAUUGAAUAUAUGAAUACAUAGAAAGUCAUCUAGCCUGGGACAGGAAAAUGAAUUAUAAUUUUGAAUAAAACAAUUCAGCCUUUUGGAAAGCAAAAGGAAAAUCCUAACAUAGGAUUCCAAAAUAAAAUAAAAUACAAAAUCUGUCAUAGCUAGGGGUGGAAGAAACAUCACACUUGGAGCUGACUAGGUUUUCUUAGCUGGUUAGUGCUAACUGGCAGGGGCACCAGAGUAAAAUGGGCCUUCUGGAAGGCUGGAAAGCUGGAGGAAGAGGUGUUUUCCUGGAAAGCCAGGGAAUAAUUCUGAUUUUUUUUCCCUCUAAAUUAGAGUGGGGACUUGCUGAAGUUGAGUUUAAGUGAAGGUCAAAAAGAGAACAAGUUUUGUAAGAAUUCCUUAAAUGCCUGGGUUUGAUGAUCAGUGCACAUUCCUCAGGAAUUAUUAUAGCAGGUCAAUAAGAACAUAGCCAGUAAUGAACCUUUCAGAUCCAGCAAGGACUCACAUUUCAUGCACAGUUUCACCAGCAGUUGCAUGACCCCUAUCAAGGACCCCAGCAGCCAAGGGAAGUGACUCAAAUAUGUGGUUCAUCUGCUCUUACCCUGGGCAGCCACUCUAGUUCUUAUACAGUUAUGUAUCUUUUGCUAAUUAAACCAGGAACCUAAUUUAAUAUUUUUGCUUUGUGUGUAAGAUUUCUUCAUGUCCAUCUAUAAUCCAUCUGAGAUACAACUGGCAUAAAGAUGGGUUCUGAAAUGCUGUAGUUCGUGUCAGAAGUAGAUUCAUAAGCCAAAUUACUAUCAUGGUUUGAUUUUAGAAAUGGUGUCAGGAAAACAAGAAAUGAAAUGGUGAGAUAAAGAAGUGUGAGAGGAAACUCCGCCCAGGGCAUGAGAUCAUUGGUUUUCCAAGGGAGAUGUUUUUGGGAGAGAACUGCAUUCACUAUACCUUUAUAUCCAACCUCGUAGGACUUGUACAUAACUACAGAGGGAUGAGUGAAUUGCAAGGUUGUCUAAGUUAUGGUUUCCUAGUCCCUACUAUGUUAUCCAAGGGUGGAGUCAUUGCAUAACCCCACAAAGUUGAAAAAGUUGGGAGAUAAUGAGGUUCUGCGUCAUCCCCGCAGCUUUGGCUGAACUGGCAGUCGGUUACUUUCUGGCCAGAAAUUACUUAUUUGAUAGGGAAAAUUAGAACCAAGAUAUACUCUAAUUCUCCCUGUUGAAAUGGUUAAGAAAAAAAGGGGGUGGGUUAGAAGACAAAAGUGUUCAUCUUAACUGUAUCUCCACUUGAAUAUGUAUACACAAAUUUUACCUUUUUUUUUUUCCUUAAAGAAUAUAUAGAAGCCUUAAAAUGGGGCCUAAAACUCCAUGACUUUGGAACCGGCUGAUUGCAUUUUCACUGGGAGGGCUUUAGAAAUUCGUUUGCACUUGAAAAAAAGUUGUGUUCUAAAUGAAAAAUUAUCAAUACUUAAUUGAGGAAUAAAAUUUCAAUUGGUAAAA